rnacentral:rRNA from 1 species
GAUGAACGCUAGCGGCAGGCCUAAUACAUACAAGUCGAACGGUGUGGCAAUACACAGUGGCGCACGGGUGCGUAACACGUAUGCAACCUACCUUACAUUGGGGGAUAGCCUUUCGAAGGGGAGAUUAAUACCGCAUAAGACAGUAACUAGGCAUCUAGUAGCUGUUAAAGAUUUAUCGAUGUAAGCUGGGCAUGCGUCCAAUUAGUUAGUUGGCGAGGUAAUGGCUCACCAAGACGAUGAUUGGUAGGGGAACUGAGAGGUCAAUCCCCCACACUGGCACUGAGAUACGGGCCAGACUCCUACGGGAGGCAGCAGUAGGGAAUAUUGGGCAAUGGGCGCAAGCCUGACCCAGCCAUGCCGCGUGCAGGAGGAAGGCGUUAUGCGUUGUAAACUGCCUUUAUACAGGAAGAAACGACCCUUGCGAGGGGCAUUGACGGUACUGUAUGAAUAAGCGCCGGCUAACUCCGUGCCAGCCGCCGCCGUAACAC